rnacentral:rRNA from 1 species
GACGAACGCUGGCGGCGUGCCUAAUACAUGCAAGUUGAGCGCUGAAGGUUGGUACUUGUACCAACUGGAUGAGCAGCGAACGGGUGAGUAACGCGUGGGGAAUCUGCCUUUGAGCGGGGGACAACAUUUGGAAACGAAUGCUAAUACUGCAUAAAAACUUUAAACACAAGUUUUAAGUUUGAAAGAUGCAAUUGCAUCACUCAAAGAUGAUCCCGCGUUGUAUUAGCUAGUUGGUGAGGUAAAGGCUCACCAAGGCGAUGAUACAUAGCCGACCUGAGAGGGUGAUCGGCCACAUUGGGACUGAGACACGGCCCAAACUCCUACGGGAGGCAGCAGUAGGGAAUCUUCGGCAAUGGACGAAAGUCUGACCGAGCAACGCCGCGUGAGUGAAGAAGGUUUUCGGAUCGUAAAACUCUGUUGGUAGAGAAGAACGUUGGUGAGAGUGGAAAGCUCAUCAAGUGACGGUAACUACCCAGAAAGGGACGGCUAACUACGUG